UCUUUUUGAAAACAAAUGCUUUCUUGGUUCUAAUGGCAAUCACAUCAGUAUAAAGUUGCUUAAAGAACAAACGUGACCUAAUUGCACAGUAUUUCAUCCACAUGGUUUUUCAAAGGAGAGAGUAAAUUCCGGAAUACCAAUGAGCAGACACUGAUUUAUGGGAUUGCAGUUAUGUUUUGUACCGUUUCUGUUUUAACAUCAGAUUUGUUACUACAAAGAUCUGGACAGACAGAGAAAUCGGAUCAGAGAGAAAAUGCUAAACAGUCUUCUUUGAUCUUUUAAGGGGAGGUACUAGAGGUGAUCCCUGCAUAUGACAAAAAUUUAAAAUAUCCUAUUUUUUUACUGCAUUAAAUAAAAUGAUGUGUGCAUGUUAAUUAACAUGCUUUUCACACUUUUCUAAAGAUAAAAUUAAAUGCUAAUGAAAAUCCAGCAAUAUCAUUUGAGCAAAAUGGUAAAACACUUGCUAUAUGAUCAAAAUGUCAUUUCAAUGCAAAAUAGUUCAUAGAGUCUCAAAAUUGUUCAAUUCAUGUCACUUGUGCAUGUAAUACCUCCUCUUAAGCCCAUCAAGAAAAUAUUCUCCAAUUCUCACCUCCAACUGAUUUAAAAAAAUUAAAUGACUCAGCAAAUGAUUCAAAAACAGAAACAAACGCUGUUGGUUCGAUGUUCAUUUGAAUUGAACUACAGGUUGGGAGUUGCCAUUGUAUGCUAAUAUUUUAAUAAUAUUAAAAAGGUAUGCACUAAUAUUGACUGAAACUGCAAUACUGGUUCUUGAAGCUUCACGGUGCAUCUUAACUAGCUAAUUCUGCUGAACAUGGUUGCCGAAUACUGUAUAAUUCAUACUUUAAAAUUCAUGUCUCAAAAAAA